GCUCCAAUAGCGUAUAUUAAAGUUGUUGCGGUAAAAAAGCUCGUAGUUGGAUUUCUGUUGAGAACGACCGGUCCACACAUCGUGUGAGCAUCUGGUUCGAUCUCGGCAUUCUCUCGAUGGACGGCUGCGCUUCGUUGCGUGGUCGGACUCGGGACUUUACUUUGAGGAAAUUAGAGUGUUCACAGCAGGCCUACGCCGAA
rnacentral:rRNA from 1 species